rnacentral:rRNA from 1 species
UACGUAGGGUCCGAGCGUUAAUCGGAAUUACUGGGCGUAAAGCGUGCGUAGACGGUUACAUAAGUCGGGUGUGAAAGCCCCGGGCUCAACCUGGGAAUUGCAUUCGAGACUGCGUAGCUAGGGUGAGGAAGAGGGAAGCGGAAUUUCCGGUGUAGCGGUGAAAUGCGUAGAUAUCGGAAGGAACACCAGUGGCGAAAGCGGCUUCCUGGUCCAGCACCGACGUCAGGCACGAAAGCGUGGGGAGCAAACAGG